GAUGAACGCUAGCGACAGGCUUAACACAUGCAAGUCGAGGGGCAGCGAGGGCGUAGCAAUACGCCUGUCGGCGACCGGCGCACUGGUGAGUAACACGUAUGCGACCUGCCCCCUACAGGGGUAUAACCCGUAGAAAUGCGGACUAAUCCCCCAUAGUCCUGGGUGCUGCAUGGCAUUCAGGGGAAAGGGUUUCCGGUAGGGGAUGGGCAUGCGGCGCAUUAGCUAGUUGGCGGGGCAACGGCCCACCAAGGCGACGAUGCGUAGGGGUUCUGAGAGGAAGGUCCCCCACACUGGUACUGAGACACGGACCAGACUCCUACGGGAGGCAGCAGUGAGGAAUAUUGGUCAAUGGGCGCAGGCCUGAACCAGCCAAGUCGCGUGAGGGAAGACGGUCCUACGGAUUGUAAACCUCUUUUGUCGGGGAGUAAACGUGCGGGACGCGUCCCGUAUUGAGAGUACCCGAAGAAAAAGCAAUCGGCUAACUCCGUG
rnacentral:rRNA from 1 species